GGCUGUGUCCAGAAUGGCCUGGGCUCCUCUCCUCCUCGUGCUCCUCUCUCACUGCACAGGUUCCCUGUCCCAGCCUGUGCUGACCCAGCCGCCCUCCCUCUCUGCAUCUCCUGGAGCAUCAGCCAGACUCACGUGCACCCUGAGCAGUGGCUUCAGUGUUGGUAGUUACUGGAUACACUGGCACCAGCAGAAGCCAGGGAGCCCUCCCUGGUACCUCCUGAGCUACUACUCAGAGUCAAGUAAGCACCAGGGCUCCGGGGUCCCCAGCCGCUUCUCUGGCUCCAAAGAUGCCUCGGCCAAUGCAGGGAUCCUGCACAUCUCUGGGCUGCAGACUGAGGACAAGGCUGACUAUUACUGUGCCAUAUGGCACAACAGUGCUUCUCACAGUGACACAGGCAGAUGGGGAAGUGGGACAAAAAACUCAGCCUGCUCAGCAUUUCAUCCUAUGACAAUUUUAAAAUUUUAA